GCUGUGAAAUUUGGCUAUAGAUGGAGCAUAGGGGAUGGUAAAAGAACCAGGUUUUGGGAAGAUACUUGGUUUGGCACUUCUCCCCCAGCAGUCCAAUUUUGGCAUGUCUACUCUAUUUGCAUUGAACAAAACAAAUGUGUGAAUGAAGUUUGGGAUGGGCAAUGCCUAAAGCUCUCAUUUAGAAGGAACUUUAGUGACAGUCUUAUGGAACAAUGGUUCCAGCUCAAGGAAAUUGCCAAGAGCAUUGUCUUUUCUGCCGACCUAGAUGCCUUGAUGUGGCAACUAGACAAUAAAGGGCAGUACUCUUCUAGCUCCCUCUAUCAUAUUAUCAGUUUUAGAGGGGUCCAGCCUAUGUUUAUCCCAGCAGUCUGGAAACUAAGAGUUCCUCCCAAAAUUCAUGUUUUUCUCUGGCUCCUCUCAAAAAAUAAAUUGAUGACCAGAGAUAAUCUUAGGAAAAGACAUAUCAUCAAACCUCUUGAGUGUGUUUAUCGCUUGGAACAUGAAUCAUGUUCUCACCUCUUUUUUGAGUGUAUUGUUGCUAAUCACCUCUGGGUCCCUAUUAAGAAAAUUUUCUCUAUUCAGAUUGGCUCUUCCUUUGAAUCUGUAGCCAGAUUCUGGAUUGCUAACAAGAAGUGCUCGGUUUUAAAUACUAUUAGCUCAGCUGUCCUUUGGAGCCUCUGGAAAUAUAGAAAUGCUACGAUUUUCAAUAAAACAUCUUGGAUUUCCAUUCCGCGGGUGUAG
rnacentral:rRNA from 1 species